CUCGUAGGCGGUUCGGUAAGUCGGGUGUGAAAACUCUGGGCUCAACCCAGAGAGGCCACCCGAUACUGCUGUGACUUGAGUGCGGUAGGGGAGCGGGGAAUUCAUGGUGUAGCGGUGAAAUGCGCAGAUAUCAUGAGGAACACCAGUGGCGAAGGCGCCGCUCUGGGCCGUAACUGACGCUGAGGAGCGAAAGCGUGGGUAGCAAACA
rnacentral:rRNA from 1 species